CUUCUUGAAUUUUCGAAUUGUGUGAUGCCACUUUUUCUCACCUGAGUUUAUUUACAGCAAAUUCAUUAUCUACUGCCUUUGCACUCUGACCUCUGCCAUUUGAUCCCCAGGAUAAGUUAAUGGUGCAGCAGGGUGUUAGAACUCUCUGCAGUUUACAGAAAUAUUGUUUGCCUGAAUGAUUAUAACUCUGAUUGUCCAACAUCUGGCUAAUAUGUUUCUCUCCUCCAGCAUGACAACGAUUGAAACAGGAUAAAAGUACGGUAAAAUUGUUAAUUUCCUGGUUUACAAAAGCACAUCCGACCACGCUUCAAAUACAAAAAAGGAUAGUCUAAGUUCUACUUGGUUGAAAUUACAGUGGCUACAAAUAUAAGGACUAUUAUCUCAAGUUAUGGUUUAAGUUUACUGGAAUCCAUUUCAAAUCUUAGGAAAAUCUACUCUUCGGAAAAUUACUGAACCAAAUUAUGGGUUUACUGCAAUUUUUUCAAUCAACUAUUAAAUUCUUUCACUGAGGUGUAAACACCCUGUUUACUUUACAUCCAACUGUUACAGUUAGCAAUGAAAGAAAAUUUGGGCUAAAUGAUUUGCGUAGGCUUCUUAGGAGUUUCUGUACCAAAACACUAAACAGUGUCUGAUACAGAAACAGGGGGAGAUGCAUGGAAUUACUCUAUUCAAGCAAAUUCUGAGUUAAUCUAAUCUAUUGAGAAAUUUUUCAGUUUUGGGCUUCAACAAAAUAUAAAAGAGGUUAAAUCAAAAUUCACAAAUGUUUUAAUUACUCGAAUGAGUUUCUAAACUAAUACUGAAUAUUCUGAAUUGAAUACAUUAAAAUUAACAAUGAUGUCACGUGUCAACUAGAUUUCUACAGAACAGAGUUUUUAAAAACGGGGAAUAAAUUGCUGCUUCUCUCUUGCUAUAAUUCAAAAUAAUUUGUUUAGCCAAGUCAUGCAGAAAGGUCUAACCUGAACAUUAUACAAUUUAAUAAAUCUAGUUGUAUCAAAUUUCUCCCCAAAACUGCCAAAAGCAUUGAUAAAUAUCAUAAACACUACAAAAGAGGGUAAUUCAGUUAAAACUUAAAUAAUAGAUGUUAUUGAUAUAUUGAUGCUCUAUUGGCUUAGUCUGAAAACAAAAGAAAAAGCAUGAUCUUCAGCUUCAAGGAGCAGCCUUUAAAAAA